rnacentral:rRNA from 1 species
CCUACGGGAGGCAGCAGUGGGGAAUAUUGGGCAAUGGGCGAAAGCCUGACCCAGCAACGCCGCGUGAAGGAAGAAGGCUUUCGGGUUGUAAACUUCUUUUGUCAGGGACGAAGCAAGUGACGGUACCUGACGAAUAAGCCACGGCUAACUACGUGCCAGCAGCCGCGGUAAUACGUAGGGGGCAAGCGUUAUCCGGAUUUACUGGGUGUAAAGGGCGGGUAGGCGGGACUGCAAGUCAGAUGUGAAAACUCAGGGCUCAACCCUGAGCCUGCAUUUGAAACUGUAGUUCUUGAGUACUGGAGAGGCAGACGGAAUUCCUAGUGUAGCGGUGAAAUGCGUAGAUAUUAGGAGGAACACCAGUGGUGAAGGCGGUCUGCUGGACAGCAACUGACGCUGAGGCGCGAAAGCGUGGGGAGCAAACAGGAUUAGAUACCCGAGUAGUC